GCUUCUGUGAGUUUCUGUCUUUCAAAGGGAAUUGCUUGUUUUUGAGUUUCUAGCUGCCCUUUUACUCUUGAUGAUGAACUCUUAAGCAUUGGUAUGAAAAUCUUAAUGUGAGAUCUAGUAUCAGAUCUAGGCAUUAAAGUUGAAAAUAUUUCUUAUUUCUUUUGUGACGGUGAGGAUGCUUAUGAAAAAGUUGAGGUGGCAUCUGGUUUCACUGAAUUUUUAGUUGAAGCUGAGAUGGUAUAUGAUCAUCAUUCACCACCUGAUAUAACCUGAAAAGGCACUCGAUUUGAGCACAGUUAGGUUUAAUGUCCAGCUUCAUCAACGUGUCUGCACUCUGAUAACUUAGAAGAACCUCAGAUGUUUUAGCUAAAUCCCUGAGUUUGUGCAGAAGUUAU
rnacentral:misc_RNA from 1 species